rnacentral:rRNA from 1 species
AGGGUUUGAUCCUGGCUCAGAUUGAACGUUGGCGGCAGGCCUAACACAUGCAAGUCGAACGGUAACAGCAGAUGCUUGCAUCUGGCUGACGAGUGGCGGACGGGUGAGUAACACGUAGGAAUCUACCCAGUAGAGGGGGAUAGCCCGGGGAAACCUGGAUUAAUACCGCAUAUAUCCUUAGGGGGAAAGGUGGCCAAUUCUUGAAAGCUGCCGCUAUUGGAUGAGCCUGCGUCAGAUUAGCUUGUUGGUGGGGUAAUGGCUUACCAAGGCAACGAUCUGUAGCUGGUCUGAGAGGACGAUCAGCCACACUGGGACUGAGACACGGCCCAGACUCCUACGGGAGGCAGCAGUGAGGAAUAUUGCGCAAUGGGCGAAAGCCUGACGCAGCCAUGCCGCGUGUGUGAAGAAGGCCCUAGGGUUGUAAAGCACUUUCAGAAGUGAGGAAAGUUACACAGUAAAUAGCUGAGUAAUUUGACAUUAGCUUCAGAAGAAGCACCGGCUAACUCCGUGCCAGCAGCCGCGGUAAUACGGGGGGUGCAAACGUUAAUCGGAAUUACUGGGCGUAAAGCGCUCGUAGGUGGUGUGUUUAGUGGGAUGUGAAAGCCCCGGGCUUAACCUGGGAACUGCAUCUCAAACUGGCACGCUAGAGUAUGGUAGAGGGAAGCGGAAUUCCGCAUGUAGCGGUGGAAUGCGUAGAGAUGCGGAGGAACACCAGUGGCGAAGGCGGCUUCCUGGACUAAUA